UGGGGAAUAUUGGACAAUGGGGGCAACCCUGAUCCAGCAAUGCCGCGUGUGUGAAGAAGGUCUUCGGAUUGUAAAGCACUUUCGACGGGGACGAUGAUGACGGUACCCGUAGAAGAAGCCCCGGCUAACUUCGUGCCAGCAGCCGCGGUAAUACGAAGGGGGCUAGCGUUGCUCGGAAUGACUGGGCGUAAAGGGCGUGUAGGCGGUUUACACAGUCAGAUGUGAAAUCCCCGGGCUUAACCUGGGAGCUGCAUUUGAUACGUGUAGACUAGAGUGUGAGAGAGGGUUGUGGAAUUCCCAGUGUAGAGGUGAAAUUCGUAGAUAUUGGGAAGAACACCGGUGGCGAAGGCGGCAACCUGGCUCAUGACUGACGCUGAGGCGCGAAAGCGUGGGGAGCAAACAGGAUUAGAUACCCUGGUAGUCCACGCUGUAAACGAUGUGUGCUAGAUGUUGGGUAACUUUGUUAUUCAGUGUCGCAGUUAACGCGUUAAGCACACCGCCUGGGGAGUACGGCCGCAAGGUUGAAACUCUAAAGUGAAUUGAC
rnacentral:rRNA from 1 species